AGUGAACGCUGGCGGUAGGCCUAACACAUGCAAGUCGAACGGCAGCACAGUAAGAGCUUGCUCUUACGGGUGGCGAGUGGCGGACGGGUGAGGAAUACAUCGGAAUCUACUUUUUCGUGGGGGAUAACGUAGGGAAACUUACGCUAAUACCGCAUACGACCUACGGGUGAAAGCAGGGGAUCUUCGGACCUUGCGCGAUUGAAUGAGCCGAUGUCGGAUUAGCUAGUUGGCGGGGUAAAGGCCCACCAAGGCGACGAUCCGUAGCUGGUCUGAGAGGAUGACCACCCACACUGAAACUGGAACCCGGCCCAGACUCCUACGGGAGGCAGCGGUGGGGAAUUUUGGAAAAGGGGCCCAGGCCUGAUCCACCCAUCCCGGGGGGGUGAAGAAGGCCUUCGGGUUGUAAAGCCCUUUUUUUGGGAAAAAAAAGCAGCAGGUUAAUCCCCCGCUGUUCUGCCGGUACCCAAAGAAUAAGCACCGGCUAACUUCG
rnacentral:rRNA from 1 species